GUUAGUACCUAUUACACAGUUAUUGUAAUUGGUAUAAUAAGUAAAUAGUAAGUACUCAUGGAACAGUAAUGUAAAAUAAAGUGCAACCUUUUUUCUUUUUUAGUUUUUAGAGUUUAACUUGCACUAAAUACAGAAUAUUAUUUUAAUUCUGAGGAAGUAAAAGGUUUCUGUGAGUUCACACAGGAAGACAAACUGUUUAAACUGUUUCAGAGGAAGUACAGACUGAACUGGGGUCUUGAAUCAACACAUCCAACCCUGAUGUUCACCAGAAGUUCAUGAUAAUGUGGACCCAGAUUAUAAAAGGUAGGCUUUUUUAAUUAUACAGCUGUCUGGAUAUGUCAAAUAAUCAAAACUUGGAGUUCUUGAAUAGGAUAAAAGCUUUCUCAAAUGUUUCAUGCUGACAAUGCAGAAAACUGCUCCAAUACUUAAAGUAAUAGUAACAUCAUCUGUUUCUCUCAGACUGACCUGCAUUUAAAGGGUUACAUAAGGGUACAAAAGGUCAUGUGAAGAGCUUUUGAGUAUUAAAGAGGAUGGAAUGUCCAACUCAAGGAUGAAGUGUCUUGUUCAAACUGUGUCCAGGAGAGGACGAUGUAUGCUACAAGGUGAGUUUCUGUACUGCUGGAAAAAUCCCAGAGGCACCAGUUUACGAGCCUGUAUGAGAGUACGGCAAUGAAAACUUGAUGACAGUUUGGAAAUGAGAUAUUAUGAGGCAGGAUUCCGGCUUUCACCUUUCCUGUACUACUGACUUGUCUUAUGACUGGACACAAAGAACAAUGGAGUAAGGAGGUGAGCAGAGGAAGGAGGGAGGACAGAAAGAAGGAAAGAGGAGGGAACAAGCAGGUCGUGGAGUAUGUAAGGUCAGCAGAGUCAGGU
ensembl:lncRNA